UACGUAGGCUGCAAGCGUUGUUCGGAAUUACUGGGCGUAAAGAGUGUGUAGGCGGUGCUCUAAGUUCGGUGUGAAAUCUCUCGGCUUAACUGGGAGGGUGCGCCGGAAACUGGAGUGCUUGAGCGCGGGAGAGGAAAGCGGAAUUCCUGGUGUAGCGGUGAAAUGCGUAGAUAUCAGGAGGAACACCUGUGGUGUAGACGGCUUUCUGGACCGUAGCUGACGCUGAGACACGAAAGCGUGGGUAGCAAACAGG
rnacentral:rRNA from 1 species